UAACACCUUCGGGGACGGGUGGAAUUCCCUAUCGGCGGUAAGAAGCGACUAGGUUUUGAGCCCGCUAGCCUUUAUGGCUGAUCUGGUGAAAAUCCAGGGCCGACAGUAACAGUCUGGAUGGGAGAAGGUUUUA
rfam:Desulfotomaculum sp. 46_296 MPI_scaffold_100, whole genome shotgun sequence.